rnacentral:rRNA from 1 species
AGAGUUUGAUCCUGGCUCAGGACGAACGCUGGCGGCGUGCUUAACACAUGCAAGUCGAACGGUAAGGCCCUUCGGGGUACACGAGUGGCGAACGGGUGAGUAACACGUGGGUGAUCUGCCCUGCACUUUGGGAUAAGCCUGGGAAACUGGGUCUAAUACCGAAUAUGACCAUGCACUUCCUGGUGUGUGGUGGAAAGCUUUUGCGGUGUGGGAUGGGCCCGCGGCCUAUCAGCUUGUUGGUGGGGUAAUGGCCUACCAAGGCGACGACGGGUAGCCGGCCUGAGAGGGUGACCGGCCACACUGGGACUGAGAUACGGCCCAGACUCCUACGGGAGGCAGCAGUGGGGAAUAUUGCACAAUGGGCGCAAGCCUGAUGCAGCGACGCCGCGUGAGGGAUGACGGCCUUCGGGUUGUAAACCUCUUUCAGCACAGACGAAGCGCAAGUGACGGUAUGUGCAGAAGAAGGACCGGCCAACUACGUGCCAGCAGCCGCGGUAAUACGUAGGGUCCGAGCGUUGUCCGGAAUUACUGGGCGUAAAGAGCUCGUAGGUGGUUUGUCGCGUUGUUCGUGAAAACUCACAGCUUAACUGUGGGCGUGCGGGCGAUACGGGCAGACUUGAGUACUGCAGGGGAGACUGGAAUUCCUGGUGUAGCGGUGGAAUGCGCAGAUAUCAGGAGGAACACCGGUGGCGAAGGCGGGUCUCUGGGCAGUAACUGACGCUGAGGAGCGAAAGCGUGGGGAGCGAACAGGAUUAGAUACCCUGGUAGUCC